rnacentral:rRNA from 1 species
AGAGCGAACGCUGGCGGCAGGCCUCAAACAUGCAAGUCUAGGGGGUGUAGCAAUACAUCACCGGCGGACGGGUGCGUAACACGUGGGAAUGUACCUACUGGUUCGGAACAACGCAGGGAAACUUGCGCUAAUACCGAAUAAGCCCGAAAGGGGAAAGAUUUAUCGCCAGUAGAUCAGCCCGCGUAGGAUUAGCUAGUUGGUGGGGUAAUGGCCCACCAAGGCUCCGAUCCUUAGCUGUUCUGAGAGGAAGAUCAGCCACACUGGGACUGAGACACGGCCCAGACUCCUACGGGAGGCAGCAGUUGGGAAUCUUGGACAAUGGGGGAAACCCUGAUCCAGCCAUGCCGCGUGAGUGAUGAAGGCCUUCGGGUUGUAAAACUCUUUCGACGGGGACGAUAAUGACGGUACCCGUAGAAGAAGCUCCGGCUAACUUCGUGCCAGCAGCCGC